rnacentral:rRNA from 1 species
UACGUAGGGGGCGAGCGUUGUCCGGAAUCAUUGGGCGUAAAGCGCGUGUAGGCGGCCAGACAGGUCCGUUGUGAAAACUCGAGGCUCAACCUCGAGACGCCGAUGGAAACCGUCUGGCUAGAGUCCGGAAGAGGAGAGUGGAAUUCCUGGUGUAGCGGUGAAAUGCGCAGAUAUCAGGAGGAACACCCGUGGCGAAAGCGGCUCUCUGGGACGGUACUGACGCUGAGACGCGAAAGCGUGGGGAGCAAACAGG